rnacentral:rRNA from 1 species
AGCGUACACGGUGGAUGCCCUGGCAGUCAGAGGCGAUGAAGGACGUGCUAAUCUGCGAUAAGCGUCGGUAAGGUGAUAUGAACCGUUAUAACCGGCGAUUUCCGAAUGGGGAAACCCAGUGUGAUUCGUCACACUAUCAUUAACUGAAUCCAUAGGUUAAUGAGGCGAACCGGGGGAACUGAAACAUCUAAGUACCCCGAGGAAAAGAAAUCAACCGAGAUUCCCCCAGUAGCGGCGAGCGAACGGGGAGCAGCCCAGAGCCUGAAUCAGUGUGUGUGUUAGUGGAAGCGUCUGGAAAGGCGUGCGAUACAGGGUGACAGCCCCGUACACAAAAAUGCACAUACUGUGAGCUCGAUGAGUAGGGCGGGACACGUGGUAUCCUGUCUGAAUAUGGGGGGACCAUCCUCCAAGGCUAAAUACUCCUGACUGACCGAUAGUGAACCAGUACCGUGAGGGAAAGGCGAAAAGAACCCCGGCGAGGGGAGUGAAAAAGAACCUGAAACCGUGUACGUACAAGCAGUGGGAGCACGCUUAGGCGUGUGACUGCGUACCUUUUGUAUAAUGGGUCAGCGACUUAUAUUCUGUAGCAAGGUUAACCGAAUAGGGGAGCCGAAGGGAAACCGAGUCUUAACUGGGCGUUAAGUUGCAGGGUAUAGACCCGAAACCCGGUGAUCUAGCCAUGGGCAGGUUGAAGGUUGGGUAACACUAACUGGAGGACCGAACCGACUAAUGUUGAAAAAUUAGCGGAUGACUUGUGGCUGGGGGUGAAAGGCCAAUCAAACCGGGAGAUAGCUGGUUCUCCCCGAAAGCUAUUUAGGUAGCGCCUCGUGAAUUCAUCUCCGGGGGUAGAGCACUGUUUCGGCAAGGGGGUCAUCCCGACUUACCAACCCGAUGCAAACUGCGAAUACCGGAGAAUGUUAUCACGGGAGACACACGGCGGGUGCUAACGUCCGUCGUGAAGAGGGAAACAACCCAGACCGCCAGCUAAGGUCCCAAAGUCAUGGUUAAGUGGGAAACGAUGUGGGAAGGCCCAGACAGCCAGGAUGUUGGCUUAGAAGCAGCCAUCAUUUAAAGAAAGCGUAAUAGCUCACUGGUCGAGUCGGCCUGCGCGGAAGAUGUAACGGGGCUAAACCAUGCACCGAAGCUGCGGCAGCGACGCUUAUGCGUUGUUGGGUAGGGGAGCGUUCUGUAAGCCUGCGAAGGUGUGCUGUGAGGCAUGCUGGAGGUAUCAGAAGUGCGAAUGCUGACAUAAGUAACGAUAAAGCGGGUGAAAAGCCCGCUCGCCGGAAGACCAAGGGUUCCUGUCCAACGUUAAUCGGGGCAGGGUGAGUCGACCCCUAAGGCGAGGCCGAAAGGCGUAGUCGAUGGGAAACAGGUUAAUAUUCCUGUACUUGGUGUUACUGCGAAGGGGGGACGGAGAAGGCUAUGUUGGCCGGGCGACGGUUGUCCCGGUUUAAGCGUGUAGGCUGGUUUUCCAGGCAAAUCCGGAAAACUAAGGCUGAGGCGUGAUGACGAGGCACUACGGUGCUGAAGCAACAAAUGCCCUGCUUCCAGGAAAAGCCUCUAAGCAUCAGGUAACAUCAAAUCGUACCCCAAACCGACACAGGUGGUCAGGUAGAGAAUACCAAGGCGCUUGAGAGAACUCGGGUGAAGGAACUAGGCAAAAUGGUGCCGUAACUUCGGGAGAAGGCACGCUGAUAUGUAGGUGAAGUCCCUCGCGGAUGGAGCUGAAAUCAGUCGAAGAUACCAGCUGGCUGCAACUGUUUAUUAAAAACACAGCACUGUGCAAACACGAAAGUGGACGUAUACGGUGUGACGCCUGCCCGGUGCCGGAAGGUUAAUUGAUGGGGUUAGCGCAAGCGAAGCUCUUGAUCGAAGCCCCGGUAAACGGCGGCCGUAACUAUAACGGUCCUAAGGUAGCGAAAUUCCUUGUCGGGUAAGUUCCGACCUGCACGAAUGGCGUAAUGAUGGCCAGGCUGUCUCCACCCGAGACUCAGUGAAAUUGAACUCGCUGUGAAGAUGCAGUGUACCCGCGGCAAGACGGAAAGACCCCGUGAACCUUUACUAUAGCUUGACACUGAACAUUGAGCCUUGAUGUGUAGGAUAGGUGGGAGGCUUUGAAGUGUGGACGCCAGUCUGCAUGGAGCCGACCUUGAAAUACCACCCUUUAAUGUUUGAUGUUCUAACGUUGACCCGUAAUCCGGGUUGCGGACAGUGUCUGGUGGGUAGUUUGACUGGGGCGGUCUCCUCCUAAAGAGUAACGGAGGAGCACGAAGGUUGGCUAAUCCUGGUCGGACAUCAGGAGGUUAGUGCAAUGGCAUAAGCCAGCUUGACUGCGAGCGUGACGGCGCGAGCAGGUGCGAAAGCAGGUCAUAGUGAUCCGGUGGUUCUGAAUGGAAGGGCCAUCGCUCAACGGAUAAAAGGUACUCCGGGGAUAACAGGCUGAUACCGCCCAAGAGUUCAUAUCGACGGCGGUGUUUGGCACCUCGAUGUCGGCUCAUCACAUCCUGGGGCUGAAGUAGGUCCCAAGGGUAUGGCUGUUCGCCAUUUAAAGUGGUACGCGAGCUGGGUUUAGAACGUCGUGAGACAGUUCGGUCCCUAUCUGCCGUGGGCGCUGGAGAACUGAGGGGGGCUGCUCCUAGUACGAGAGGACCGGAGUGGACGCAUCACUGGUGUUCGGGUUGUCAUGCCAAUGGCACUGCCCGGUAGCUAAAUGCGGAAGAGAUAAGUGCUGAAAGCAUCUAAGCACGAAACUUGCCCCGAGAUGAGUUCUCCCUGACUCCUUGA